rnacentral:lncRNA from 1 species
AGCUCCUUAGUUCCACACUGCAGUUUAAAAAGUACUGAUUUGGAAGUUCUGACUAGUCUCCAUGAGGAUGCAGAUUGAUCCCUGGCCUCACUUAGUGGGUUGAGGAUCCAGUAUUACCAUGAGCUGUGGCUCGGAUCCCACAUUGCUGUGGCUAUCAUAUAUGCUGGCAGCUGUAGCCUGGGAACUUCCAUAUGCUGUGGGUGCCUCCCUAAAAAGCAGAUAAGUAAAUGAAGUCCUGAUUUAAGAUGUGUGAUACCUAUGCUAAUUUAUAUUUAAUAAGAUUUUAUGUGUUUUCCAGGUACUCAACAAGAAUGAGCUUCGCACAUCCGAUAAGCUAGCAUUUUCAAGAACCUGUAUCCUUGCAGCAAUUGUGUCUGGAUUCCAUGCUCUGGUGUGACUGUGACUCACUGUGGCUGUGCCCGAGGCCACCAUGUGGGACCCCCAGCCACCCUGCGGACGGCCGCAUGUGCUGGUUCCAGCAGAGGAAUUCAGCUGUGCCAACUGCAGCUCCCAGGAGGAAAGGAAACAAAGAGUUUUUGGCGCACAUAAUGCCUGUCAUAUUGUGGGUUUAAAAAUAUAUUUACCAAGGAAGAUGACUGAGUAAUUACCAUUUGCGUGAUGAAAACAUAAUUGGACGAAGAAAAUGCUACUAUAGUUACUGUCACGUGAGUCUCAGUUUGUUAAAUGAAGAGAUCAGUGUGAUGUGCCAUGAACAUAAAAAUAAGCAAAAUGGAACAGAGUAAAUGGAUUCCAAAGUCAUUACAUUUUAUUCUGUAUGACACAGGAAGCAUCACUUGCCAUUGAGAAUUAAAUGGGUAUUAAAUAAACUGAUAUUUACAUAACU